CGAACGAUGAAGGCCGUGCUUGCACGGCUGGAUUAGUGGCGAACGGGUGAGUAACACGUGAGUAACCUGCCCUUCACUCUGGGAUAACCUCGGGAAAUCGGGGCUAAUACCGGAUACGAGUGUCCACUGCAUGGUGGAUGCUGGAAAGUUUUUCGGUGAAGGAUGGACUCGCGGCCUAUCAGUUUGUUGGUGAGGUAAUGGCUCACCAAGACGAUGACGGGUAGCCGGCCUGAGAGGGCGACCGGCCACACUGGGACUGAGACACGGCCCAGACUCCUACGGGAGGCAGCAGUGGGGAAUAUUGCACAAUGGGCGAAAGCCUGAUGCAGCGACGCCGCGUGAGGGAUGACGGCCUUCGGGUUGUAAACCUCUUUCAGUAGGGAAGAAGCGAAAGUGACGGUACCUGCAGAAGAAGCGCCGGCUAACUACGUGCCAGCAGCCGCGGUAAUACGUAGGGCGCAAGCGUUGUCCGGAAUUAUUGGGCGUAAAGAGCUUGUAGGUGGCUUGUCGCGUCUGCCGUGAAAAUCCAGGGCUUAACUCUGGACGUGCGGUGGGUACGGGCAGGCUAGAGUGUGGUAGGGGAGACUGGAACUCCUGGUGUAGCGGUGAAAUGCGCAGAUAUCAGGAAGAACACCGAUGGCGAAGGCAGGUCUCUGGGCCAUUACUGACACUGAGAAGCGAAAGCAUGGGGAGCGAACAGGAUUAGAUACCCUGGUAGUCCAUGCCGUAAACGUUGGGCACUAGGUGUGGGCGACAUUCCACGUUGUCUGCGCCGUAGCU
rnacentral:rRNA from 1 species